CCUUCCAUGGGAGCAGGUAGCACUCUUCCUCUCUGCAGGCUACAGCACCAAGGCACUGUUCUGCCGGUUAUUCGGGCUCAGGUAUUUCCUUAUAGCAACACCAAAGGACUCAGUGAAUUAAAGACUGCUGGGCUGAACCAACUAAGAAGAAAGAGAUGCAGAAAGCUGUUCUACCUGCUUGGAAAACCAAGGGAGAAGAAAAGCCACCCAAAGCAAUUUUAGACCCUGUGGGUCCCUAGACAGCAGCAGGAGGGUCUGCCUCAGAGUUUCCCCAACCAGCCUCUGUCUGACAGUUGUUUGCCGUCCCCAGAGCUGACCUCCAAGGCACUCCUUUGUCUUGUCACCUCCGAACAUUUUACUGCUCUACGUUGAAGAUCCUGCAUUGGCUCUUGCCAUUCUCUCCUGGUCCAACAUGAUGGAAGCAGCCUCCACCAAUGCCUCUGACUCGGUACACUAAGCUGCACUCCAUGCCUUCUCCAUCAUGAUAGACUGAAGUCCUCUGAAACUGGCACUAACCUAUUUGAUCCUGCUAAGGUCUGGCAGUUUAGAAGACCCAUGGCUCUGCCCUCUUGCCACAGGGAUCACUGGAGAGACCUUUCAAUAUGCCUGCCAGUUUUUUUGCAUCUGAAUAAAAGAAGCAUUAUGCCUGAAGGAUCCAUCAUUCUCAGGGGUAUUGGGACAAGAAAAUGGCAUAACAGAUGUGAACACAUUUAGAAAGUAAAAGCAAUAUAUAAAUGCUA